AGACUCGAAAAAGGGGGAGAAACAAAAAAGGAAAAAGAUACCGGACGACCAAACUAGUACAGGUAAAGACCAGCGCGUAAUCCUGGCUGCCACACCAAAUUAUACCAAUCACUAAGCCGCCGGGCGGCGACAUGGCUUUGCUGCAGCAAUUGCCAAAGCCUUCUUAUCUUCUUCUGCAUCUUCUUCUUCUUCUAAGGAAGCAGCCAGUCACUCACUGAUCAGACACACAUCCACGAGCAGGAGCAGCAGCAGCAGCAGUGCUUGCGGGUAACAUCAGCAGCAAGAGGUAGAUGAUAAGCACGGAGACGGACACUCUUCUUCUCUAAGCGGACGCCUUGUCGAACUUGAGGGGCUUCACCACCUCCCAGGUGAAGUCGGUGUCGUCGCGCCCGAAGUGACCGUAGGCCGCG
rnacentral:lncRNA from 1 species